UAUGACACUUCUAGAACUGGUAAACACCCCAUACAUGUCUCUUUGCUAUUGGCUUCUCUCUCUUUCUCUUCGUCGAUGUUGAUGUUGUAUGGUUUUGAGAAAUCUCUCCAAAUCACCGUGGAGAUUCGUCGAUGUUCGUCGAAGGGAGGAUGCAAGUUCUAUCUCUAUCUUCUCCUCGGGCUCGAUAACGCCAGCAAAACCACUUUGCUUCACAUGCUCAAGGACGAGAGAUUGGUACAGCACCAGCCUACGCAGCAUCCGACGUCUGAAGAACUUAGCAUUGGUAAAAUCAAGUUCAAGGAGUCUUGGAGUCUCCCGGUGCCAUUAUUUUAAAAACAGCAAUUCGUUAACGAUCUCCAAGCUCGAGCCACCGCUCAGCACACAACGUCAGCCCUCCGCCGACGACGUGAAGAAGAAGAAAACGAUCACAAUGUUGAUUCUGAAGAAGAGGAAAAUCCUUUUGCUCCGCUUCGCCAGAAACGUGAUUGACGUAUCACUUUCAGCAAAAGUAAGAAGCUGAAGUAGAUGAAGAUCAGCUUGAGCUUUGGCCACUAAAUCGCCAGCUGCUUUCUCAUUUGAAGCCUGUUUAAUUCCAUUGAGAAUUAAAAGAUGGAGGAACUCAGCGAAGUCUUGAAGAACAAUAGAACGCAAGAUAUCUCUUGGCUUUGCUCUCUCUCUGUACCUGAACUGGAUUUGUUCAUCAGCUUAAAGAAGCUAGCCAUUCAUCGAGCUGAAAUAAGUGAUCACGACGAACUAGCUGAUCAUUUUGAUCUCAAGUUGAUCUGCGCUCUCGGUAUGUCUUGUAUUGCUGAAAAUGUUGUACAAUCUGUUGAAAACUCAUGUCGAUGAUACAACAAUAGACAUUGAGGAGAUUGUGACUGCAAUCUGCAACGUCAAAAAGAAAAAGAAGAAGAGAAAACCCAUCAGAUUAAGAAGUAAAAACCUUUUAAGUAAUUAAUUAAUUAGACAAUGAAAAAAUUUAUUAGACUAACAAGGCUUCUAAACUUUUCAAAUCACAAAAUUAACUAUUAGUUUAUUCAUUAGAGUCCAUAAGGAUCUCUAACCAAUGGACUUGCUCUUAGGACGUGCAUGUUUGUUUGGCUCCAGUUUGUCUUUCAAGAAAGUUAGCCCAUUUUACGUGAAUCAGUAAUGUUAUUAAUAGGAAUACAUCGUAUCGAGUACGUUAGAUGUCCAAUCGCAUAAUACUUUUUAUAUGUUCCCCGGUGGGUUAAAAAUUAUAUUUUUAAAAAAAUCAACACCCGAUUUUAUUUAAAAUUCUGUUUGCUAAUAUGACGAAACUAUCAACUAGAUUCACUUACAAAUUUGUUUAAAUAUCACGUAUAAUCUACGAGGUCUCUUACACAACACAACUAUUAUGUUCCAAAGGUUCAAUUUAUCUAUAAAAUACAUAUAUCACAUUCAAUUGAAAAAUAAAGCUAUAACUCAAUACAUUUUCAUAGUAAACAUUAAAUACGAGAAAAAAAAAAUUAGCGUACAUAUUUGUGUAUGCUUCAAAAGAAGCUUAAGUGCAUAAUAAUUAAUUGCGGCACAAAAAAUCUUAAAUUACAUAAAUAUUCUAAAUUAAAUGUAUAUAAAUAUCUGUAUACAUAUAUUCCCAGAAACAUUAAAGUAGAACUAUACUGAAAUGUUUAAUAUAUAAUUCAAUUAAAAAAUAUUAUGAUAAAUAUAUUCCUAAAUUAAUACCUUAGCUUUCUAGAUUAAUUAUUUACAUAUAUUUAUUACCAAACCAAAAUUUAGAAAAAAACCCAAAAUAAUUGAAAUAAUAAUAUACAGAAAUGUUAAAUAUUCAUUUAUAAUUAAAAUUAUCAUGAUAAAAGUAAAGCAGAUGAGCACAUUUAUAACCUCAUAAAUUGAAACCGUCAUAAAUAAUGGGUUAUAACUUGCAUCUUUAUUGUGCAUGUUAAAUUAAACGCAGACAAUAUUGUAAAAACAUUUAGUAGAUACGUACAAAACCAUUGAGUUAAACCAUUGAAGGUAUUACUAAACCAUAGAGUUAAGCACAAACCGUUCCAUCAAAAACAUAACUUUCACAUCUUUUAGGACCUUUACCACACAAAUAUACUAAAAAUGUUAAUGUUAAUAGAACGUUUGAGCUCAAUAGAAAAGCUUCAUAACUGCAAAUACAUUUAUCACAAUAAUUAUAACGUACUGACAAAAAAAAAUUAUAACGUAACCGACCACACUUAUGAGAAUUUUAAAAGAGUCAUUAAACCACUUCAGUACAUAAUAACACUAACACUAGCUAAGCAUCUGAAAGGCCAUGUCUACAGUGAAACUAAACUCCUCGACCUCAACCUUCUAUAUAAAGAGUCUUCUCUUCCACAUUAAUCAUCAACUUACGGAAAACAAAAGCACCCAAAAUAAUGUCGGCUCAGCGAAGAACUUCUCCACGUCUUACCGUCAAGCCAAGAAGCCACAACCCCUACGUGAAGAAGGCCAGACAUACUGCUGAAUUUUCUAUCUCAGAUGUUACCUCCUGUGUCUACGCUUCUCGCUGUUUUUUGAGAAAAAAACAUAUAGUACUGUGUGCAAAAAUGCAAAGCUUCGCCUACUAACAAGAAAUCCUUUCCUUACGCUCCAUUGCUACA